AAGAUCAUAACAAAUCAUAUUACAACUGGUUCAUACCAUUUGAUGAUCAAAUUACAACUUGUUCAUAACAUACCAUAUUGGUUCAUAACAGACCAUUGUACAUAAAAAAGAUCAUGGUUCAUAAAAGACCAUAUUACAAUUAACAAUGAUGGUUCAUAACCGACCAUAUUCUUAUAUGAGUACUAGACAUUACAAAAUAAACCUAACAUAUAACAGACAAUAACAUAAAAUACACCAUUAUAUCACCUUGUGUCCUACAACAUCUUUGGCAACAUAAAA
rnacentral:lncRNA from 1 species